GCCCGAGUGGCGGAAUUGGUAGACGCGCCAGAUUUAGGUUCUGGUGUCUUAGCGACGUGGGGGUUCAAGUCCCUUCUCGGGCA
rnacentral:tRNA from 1 species